GCGGCAUGCCUUACACAUGCAGUCGAACGGCAGCGCGGACUUCGGUCUGGCGGCGAGUGGCGAACGGGUGAGUAAUGCAUCGGAACGUACCCAGUAGCGGGGGAUAACUACGCGAAAGCGUAGCUAAUACCGCAUACGCCCUACGGGGGAAAGGGGGGGAUCGCAAGACCUCUCACUAUUGGAGCGGCCGAUGUCGGAUUAGCUAGUUGGUGGGGUAAAGGCCUACCAAGGCGACGAUCCGUAGCUGGUUUGAGAGGACGACCAGCCACACUGGGACUGAGACACGGCCCAGACUCCUACGGGAGGCAGCAGUGGGGAAUUUUGGACAAUGGGGGCAACCCUGAUCCAGCCAUGCCGCGUGUGCGAAGAAGGCCUUCGGGUUGUAAAGCACUUUUGGCGGGAAAGAAACGGCGCCGGCUAAUACCUGGCGUAACUGACGGUACCCGCAGAAUAAGCACCGGCUAACUACGUGCCAGCAGCCGCGGUAAUACGUAGGGUGCAAGCGUUAAUCGGAAUUACUGGGCGUAAAGCGUGCGCAGGCGGUUCGGAAAGAAAGAUGUGAAAUCCCAGGGCUCAACCUUGGAACUGCAUUUUUAACUCCCGAACUAGAGUGUGUCAGAGGGAGGUGGAAUUCCACGUGUAGCAGUGAAAUGCGUAGAUAUGUGGAGGAACACCGAUGGCGAAGGCAGCCUCCUGGGAUAACACUGACGCUCAUGCACGAAAGCGUGGGGAGCAAACAGGAUUAGAUACCCUGGUAGUCCACGCCCUAAACGAUGUCAACUAGCUGUUGGGUUCUUCGGAGCUUGGUAGCGCAGCUAACGCGUGAAGUUGACCGCCUGGGGAGUACGGUCGCAAGAUUAAAACUCAAAGGAAUUGACGGGGACCCGCACAAGCGGUGGAUGAUGUGGAUUAAUUCGAUGCAACGCGAAAAACCUUACCUACCCUUGACAUGUCUGGAAUCCCGAAGAGAUUUGGGAGUGCUCGAAAGAGAACCGGAACACAGGUGCUGCAUGGCCGUCGUCAGCUCGUGUCGUGAGAUGUUGGGUUAAGUCCCGCAACGAGCGCAACCCUUGUCAUUAGUUGCUACGAAAGGGCACUCUAAUGAGACUGCCGGUGACAAACCGGAGGAAAGUGGGGAUGACGUCAGGUCCUCAUGGCCCUUAUGGGUAGGGCUUCCACGUCAUACAAUGGUCGGGACAGAGGGCUGCCAACCCGCGAGGGGGACCCAUCCCGGAAACCCAAUCGUAUCCCGAAUUGCGGUCUGCAACUCGAAUGGAUGAAUCCGAAACCCCCAUAUCCCGGAGCCC
rnacentral:rRNA from 1 species